AAGCAAGUUUAAAUUGUUUUCAUAAGGGAAUAUGACCGCAGUAACUUUUAUUCUGACUUCUUUUGCAACAACUAAAACUUAUGUUAGAAUCCAUAUACUUGUGUUAGAUAGUUGAAGGAAACUUAUGAAGGCCUGGGCCCCAUCACUGAAUAAGGCCCAACCUUCUAGGCCAAGUCGGUGAGCUUGUUAGAUAUAUAAAUGAUAAAUGUGUAAAAGGCCAAUUUAAGCACUGAUACAUAUGGCAAAAAUGUAUUUGAAAGGCAUGUACAGCAGCAAUGGAUAUUACCAAGGUGUACAUAUAGGCGAUGCACCACCAAAGUAACAACUAAUCAUUAACUAAAAGAUAUAGCAUCUGUGUAAAUCUAACUAUCGCAUGUACAAGUCUAUUGAAAUUGUGCAUAUGUAAGUAAUUGAUACUUCCAAAAGUCUACACCAUUAGUCAUCAUAAAUCAAGUUGUCAAAUGACCUCUAACUUGCCAGGAAUGCAAACAAAAAACAUGGUCUCCAAAUGCCAUUUAAUCAGAAUAGCCUUAUUUAAAGUUUACACAGAUUGUUUAACCAGAAGUUUCAAUUGUAGAUAUAAUGUGAUCUUCAUAAAUACCUAUUAGAAAAUGAAAGCAUAUCUUCAUACUUAUAUCCUCAAUUUCAAAAGUACGCAUUCCAAGCAAUUCUCACAUUCCAAAACAAUUUUGGUGCCAAGUUAGUUUGAAACAAAAAUAUCUUACAUUUUAAACCAAUGAUCAGAUAUCACAAUUCAAAAGGGUAAUGGAAACUUCUAAUAAAUGACAGUUGUUGGCUAUGUUUUACUGGUCUAUGUACAUAUCUAUUCAUUUUAUGACAUACACGUGUGCAUCUGUACAAAUUCUCAUUCUUUUCUGUAACUUCAUCUACAAGUACUGGCGCAUAUAUCUCUUAUUGGUUUGAGAAAGUGAUCUAGCUAGGUUUUCUGAAGGCAACAGAACAAAUCAGUCAAUCACAUUGCCUUGGAAGAUGAGAUCUUAUAUAGUGGAUCUCAGUUAUAAUGUUAGCAUUUGACUGAGGAUAACAGCAUUUCUGCCGGACUUUGACUUGAAUCAACACUAGACAAUUAAACAGCUAUAUUAAGCCUAGGCUAAUAAAUCUAGGCAAAAAAGAACAAAACAUUGAGAAUCAUAUAAACUAACCUGUGAAAAUGAGAUGGAGCAGUUGGCUAGUGCUCCACACCAAAUGCAAAAACCUAAGUCAGAGAUAAAUGCUACUGAACAUACUGCUUUAUGCAGCCAUUCAGCCAGAUGGAGACCCAUAGGGGCCACACUCACCCCUCCAAAUGUUUUCAAAACCUUUAUUACAUAAAUUUCAUAAAUAAAGUGCUUUAGAAAUUCUACAAUUAUGCCGCACUUCCCAAGUGCCAUUUGUAAUUAUCAAAUGACAUAUAAGUUUCAUGAUGAUUAUGAGAAUGGAAAAUCACAAUAUAUUAUAAUCAGAAUUAAAUGCUUAAAAGGCUGAAGAGAUGUAUUAGUAUUGACUCGUGUAAAUGAAACAGAAUUAAAUGGCGUUUAUCAUUUAAAAUAUUUCAAACAAAGAAGUGGUUAC
rnacentral:misc_RNA from 1 species